UAAGCCUCUCCACAUCCAAAUUGAACAGC
rnacentral:piRNA from 1 species